rnacentral:lncRNA from 1 species
CAUCCUGACAUCCCAUCCUUACAGCAUUCAAACCAAAAAUUGAAAAAUUAAAACCUCAGAAUCUCCAUUACACAUCAAGAAAUCCUCAAAUCGUAUCUCAAUCCAUGUUUAUGUAAUUUCUAUGUCCACAAAAUCGAUUUCGAGCGCUAAAAUCUCCGCAUAUUGCGAUUCCUGCGUUGUUAUUUCAACCAAGCGUGAACGAUUCAUCAGAUUGGUGUGAUGGUGGUGAGGUGGUUGGGUGUGGUGUGGUAAUGUGAAUCUUCCAGCCCUCAAGAAAUCAGAUGCAAUGCUAAUUAGCAUCUUGGAUGGGUUUCGUGGCAUUAAGUUUUACUAUUUGAGAGUGGGAUGAAUGUUGCUGACUCUCACGGAGGCGUUUCAUAUCUGUUGAAGAAAAAUGGUGGAUGCCUUUCCCAGAGGUCCCACCCAAUUGUUUGUCUGAAUUUUCACUUGCAAUCUUCAACUCGACAUGUCAGCAUGUACUCACGUUUGUCGGACCAUACUGGGAGCUAUUGUGUAUGGCAUAUAACGCGACUGUCUUCUUCAUUAACUUCUUGUCACUGAAGACCUGGUUCUCUGUAUCUAUGUAGUCGCCUGCCCUUGAAUCUCCAACAUGGUACUCGACACUUUCAUCUUCUUUCGACUGUAAUUCUAUUAUAUACAUGCUUGCGACAAACUCCGUUAUGUGUCUUCUUUUGCGAAAUGUAAAAAAUGUAUCCCACUCCUACAUGCGACGUUAAUUGUACAUGUUACAUUUCAUGGGCACGUGAUUUAGUUCUAUCAUUUUUUAUACGUCUCUUAGUAUCACACACUUUGUUACAUUUUGGCAUUUUACCUACCUGUCAAUGUGCACGAGUUCAUUUAAACUAUAACUACGAAUAUUAACCAAAAUCAAGCUUUAGAUUCACACAAUCACAUGUAAUUGUUGAUUAUUGCAGAAUUAUCACUUCACACAUUAUCUCACACGAUCCAUUCUACAUCAUGGAUGAUGUACACUUCACAGAGGAGAAUCUCGACCAAGUGGAAGAGAUGGUAAACUGUGCCCUCAAGCUAAAAAGAAAGUGCG